CGGGGUGAGUAACGCGUGGGUAACCUGCCUCAUACAGGGGGAUAACGAUUGGAAACGAUUGCUAACACCGCAUAAGCGCACAGUACCACAUGGUGCAGUGUGAAAAACUCCGGUGGUAUGAGAUGGACCCGCGUCUGAUUAGCUAGUUGGUGAGGUAACGGCCCACCAAGGCAACGAUCAGUAGCCGACCUGAGAGGGUGACCGGCCACAUUGGGACUGAGACACGGCCCAG
rnacentral:rRNA from 1 species